AUGUUAACCAUAGAUGAGUUUGAGGCGGCUUGGGGUAUUCUCUUAGAUAAAUACAACUUGAGGAAACAUACUUACAUGACACAGUUAUAUGAGAUUAGAUACAAGUGGGCGAAGCCGUACUUCAAGGGAGUUUUCUGUGCCAAAAUGACGAGCACUCAACGCAGCGAAAGUGUGAACCGCAUGCUAAAGACCUACAUGCCAGCAUCGAGUCCAGUGCACGUGUUCAUGAGGCAAUACAUGAGGCUGCAGUUUGAUCGAGAAUGAGAGGAAAGCUAUGAGGAGAAGAGGACAAUGAUUGUAAGUAAUUAG
rnacentral:rRNA from 1 species